GGGCAAGUGGCGGAAUGGCAGACGCGCUCGGUUCAGGUCCGUGUGUCCUAAAGGACGUGGGGGUUCAACUCCCCCCUUGCCCA
rnacentral:tRNA from 1 species